CUCCAACCUUACCGUGGUAACAUCAGAAUCUGGAGGUGUCAUCUCCACUAGGUUGAUGUGAUAAGGAGCAUCCUUCCAGCUGCCUGUUUGCACUGGAUCUAAUUCUGCACUCUUGAAGAGCAAUGGACCCUGCUCUACAGCAUACUCCAGGGGAAUGAAUAUUGACUUUCAAGUCAGAGAACAUGGGUUCAAAGCCUACUUCUGACACAGGUGCCUAGGUGAUCACAGCUCAUUUACCCAAGCUCCAAGGACUUCAAAGACUUCAGGGAGGGAACAGAAGAGAACUGCUGCCCCCCCAACCCUUCCCUGACCAAGUCCAGUGCCCUAAUGGUGAUGACUCAAUAUCUCACCUGCUUUAAGGAACUGCAAGAUGAAGAGGGAUUUGGCUGGGCAGAGGAGGCUGCAAUAUAGCUGAUUAGCAUUUUGCAGAGUGGGAAGUGGAGGUUCAGAGGGGCUGGCUGAUUUGUUCAAGGCCACAGAGCUAAAAACUGUGAAAAUUGGGAUCGAAACCCAAGUCCCUUGAAUACUGAUGAUUGCUCUUUCUCCUUCAGGAACAUGCUACAAAUUUUGGUAAAUCAAACCACACUUUGGAGAACUAGUAAUUUCAAGGGAUGUUA